rnacentral:lncRNA from 13 species
CCCAAACAAAACUGUAAUUGGACAUGUGAAAUGUGUACAUUAGCAUUACAUGAAGUACUUUAUUCCAAAGAUUUUUUUAUAUUUUUUUAAUGUCUAGCCACAAAUUACUAUUAAAAUGAAGAAAAUAACAUGGGUAUACUGUAAAAAUGGGUAUACCAUACAAAUGUCAUUGCAUAUUAAAAUUCUGUUUAGUUUUUAUGUUUCCUAUGGCUCUUUCCAUUGUCUAAAUCUACAAAAGCAGGUGUUUUGAAUGGAAAAUUAAGAACACUUUUAUCAGGCAUCCUGUUGAACACCACUUCCUGUACCUUAUACCUGGUACAUACUGCAAUAUGAUGGCACAUCCCACUGUGACACCAGUGGUGCAAGUGUAUUUUUUAAUCAAGAAAAUUCCUAGAGCUAACCAAUUCAUAUAGUUGAAACAUAGGGGAUCUGGACACAUUUGGACAGGAUGCUAAUCUUAGCCCACUUCUCAUUGCUGCUUAUUUGGGGAAGCCAAGAUUCAGUAACCUGUACCGACCUGCAGAAACAGCGUGAAGUCAUCCAUGCAGCAGUUGGAGAAUCUUUAGUGUUGAACUGCACCUACAACUGCUCCUCUGGAUUUGUCCGUGGACACUGGGUCAAACUCCCAGACUGUCCUCAUUGUCCUAGGCCAAGGGAAACAAAAAAUGUCACAAAGAAUGGUGACCUCUGCACACUACCAUUGUAUUUUCCACAUCUGUCCAGGGAAGAUUUUCAGUACAACUAUACCUGCUUUUCUGAAGAUCAUGAAAGUGAACAGUUCCCAAGCAAGAUAGAGUGUCUGGUAUCACUGCAGGCACAAGCUCGACCUAGUGCCUCGGACACAACGGACACUACUGAUGAAUCGAUGACAACGUUGGGUAACCAUGAGGACUCAAUAAUAGAUCACGAGAAAUUCACAGGCGUCAAGGUGUUGGCAACAGUGACCGUUAUUGUGGCUGCGGUGUCGGCAGCCGUGGCUGUCUCCUUAUGUAUGAGCCGCAAUCGAUAUUGCAAAGGAAAACCUGCUGUUAUCUGUACAGGAUAUGUUUUUUUUUCUUCAUACAAUGUGGUAUGUUUGCUAAGGCAUUUUAACACACUUUUCAUUGGCAAUUAA